rnacentral:rRNA from 1 species
AGAGAUGUGUGAUGACGCAUAUCAAUAAGCGGAGGAAAAGAAACUAACAAGGAUUCCCCUAGUAACGGCGAGUGAAGCGGGAAGAGCUCAAAUUUGAAAUCUUCAAGGUUCUACCUUGACGAAUUGUAGUUUAUAGAAGUGUUUUCUGUUAGUAGGAGUGGCAAAAGUUCUUUGGAAUAGGACAUCAUAGAGGGUGAGAAUCCCGUAUUUGGUCAUUCCUCCUAGCGUUGUGAUACACUUUCAACGAGUCGGAUUGUUUGGGAAUGCAGUCCAAAAUGGGUGGUAAAUUUCAUCUAAAGCUAAAUAUUGGCGAGAGACCGAUAGCGAACAAGUACCGUGAGGGAAAGAUGAAAAGAACUUUGAAAAGAGAGUUAAACAGUACGUGAAAUUGUCAAAAGGGAAGCGUUUGACACCAGUGUUGUUUUUUCCGAAAAUCAAUUACGAAUGUUUUAUUUUUGAGAAGUUAUGACUUCAUCGGCUUGCUUCUCUCUUUAUGAAACUUUCUUAAUGCACUUUUCGGUUAACAAGUCAACAUCAAUUUCUUUUGUUGUAAAAGGGUAUGAGGAAGGUGGCUUUCUUUUCGGAGAAAGUGUUUAUAGCCUUGUACCUCUGCAAUCGGAGAGAUUGAGGUCUGCAGCGUAGAUCCUUCGGGGUUAGAUACAUUUGUGCUAAGUUAUAGCUUUUCAUAGACAACUUGUUGACUAUGUUAAGUCUUGUAGCUUACUCGCUUAUGCUAUUUUACCUACGCUUAGGAUGUUGAGUAGCGACAUACACAC